rnacentral:rRNA from 1 species
CCUCCUUUUUUCAUCAUUUAUUAAUAUUUUUCAAUGGGCGAUAGCCUGAACCAGCCAAGUCGCGUGAGGGAAGACGGCCCUACGGGUUGUAAACCUCUUUUGUCAGGGAGCAAGAACGGAUACGUGUAUCCGAGCGAGAGUACCUGAAGAAAAAGCAUCGGCUAACUCCGUGCCAGCAGCCGCGGUAAUACGGAGGAUGCGAGCGUUAUCCGGAUUUAUUGGGUUUAAAGGGUGCGUAGGCGGAUUUUUAAGUCAGCGGUAAAAUGUCCGGGCUCAACCCGGGCCGGCCGUUGAAACUGGGGAUU